rnacentral:rRNA from 1 species
AUUGAACGCUGGCGGCAGGCCUAACACAUGCAAGUCGAGCGGAUGAAGGGAGCUUGCUCCUGGAUUCAGCGGCGGACGGGUGAGUAAUGCCUAGGAAUCUGCCUGGUAGUGGGGGAUAACGUCCGGAAACGGGCGCUAAUACCGCAUACGUCCUGCGGGAGAAAGUGGGGGAUCUUCGGACCUCACGCUAUCAGAUGAGCCUAGGUCGGAUUAGCUAGUUGGUGGGGUAAAGGCCUACCAAGGCGACGAUCCGUAACUGGUCUGAGAGGAUGAUCAGUCACAUUGGAACUGAGACACGGUCAAGACGCCUACGGGAGGCAGCAGUGGGGAAUAUUGGACAAUGGGCGAAAGCCUGAUCCAGCCAUGGCGCGUGUGUGAAGAAGGUCUUCGGAUUGUAAAGCACGUUAAGUUGGGAGGAAGGGCAGUAAGUUAAGACCUUGCUGUUUUGACGUUACCAACAGAAUAAGCACCGGCUAACUUCGUG